rnacentral:rRNA from 1 species
CCUACGGGAGGCAGCAGUGAGGAAUAUUGGUCAAUGGACGAGAGUCUGAACCAGCCAAGUAGCGUGAAGGAUGACUGCCCUAUGGGUUGUAAACUUCUUUUAUAUGGGAAUAAAAUGUUCCACGUGUGGGAUUUUGUAUGUACUAUAUGAAUAAGGAUCGGCUAACUCCGUGCCAGCAGCCGCGGUAAUACGGGGGAUCCGAGUGUUAUCCGGAUUUAUUGGGUUUAAAGGGAGCGUAGGUGGAUUGUUAAGUCAGUUGUGAAAGUUUGCGGCUCAAACGUAAAAUUGCAGUUGAAACUGGAAGUCGUGUGUACAGUAGAUGUGGGCGGAAUUCGUGGUGUAGCGGUGAAAUGCUUAGAUAUCACGAAGAACUCCGAUUGCGAGGGCAGCUCACUGGACUGCAAGUGACACUGAGGCUCGAAAGUGGGGGUAUCAAACAGGAUGAGAUACCCUUGUUC